rnacentral:lncRNA from 1 species
UUUGGUCCUUCUUUGCUCAACAGUGAACAUAAAAGCAGAGAUUGUUGUUAAGAUGGAUGGUCCAAAAGAAGUGGAAUUAAUACAGCUGACUCAGUUUUGUGAUGAUAUUUCUUCAGUUCUGAUGCCUUCUGCCAGAAACCCCAGCCUGGGAGUUGCAAGUAGGAAUCCACACGGAGUACACUGUAGCUGUCUUCAGACAUAUACCAGAAAUGUGCAUCGGAUCCCAUUACAGAUGGUUGUGAGCCACCAUGUGGUUGCUGGGAGUUGAACUCAGGACCUCUGGAAGAGCAGUCAGUACUCAGAACUGAUGAACCAUCUCUUCAGCCCCCUGCCUCCACAUCUCAAGUGCUGGGAUGAUAGGAAUGUGCCACUGAGUUUGGUUUUAUGUGAUGCUGGAGCUUGAACUCAGGGCUUUUUGCAUUCAAGGCAACUUCUUUAGCAACAGAACCACCUCUUCAGACCUUCCUAUACUUCUUCAACAGUGUGUCUCAUGUCUCUUGUCUCAGUCUGUUUCUCUGCUAUGCACACUGAUCGUGCCACGAGACUCCACUGCCUCCACCUCCCGAGUGCUGGGAUGAUAGGCUUGCCCCACUGGAUGCAGUAAUUUCCAGCUUUCCCAUUUCUACGAUGUUUCCC